rnacentral:rRNA from 1 species
AGAGUUUGAUCAUGGCUCAGAUUGAACGCUGGCGGCAGGCCUAACACAUGCAAGUCGAGCGGAAACGAGUUAUCUGAACCUUCGGGGAACGAUAACGGCGUCGAGCGGCGGACGGGUGAGUAAUGCCUAGGAAAUUGCCCUGAUGUGGGGGAUAACCAUUGGAAACGAUGGCUAAUACCGCAUAACGCCUACGGGCCAAAGAGGGGGACCUUCGGGCCUCUCGCGUCAGGAUAUGCCUAGGUGGGAUUAGCUAGUUGGUGAGGUAAUGGCUCACCAAGGCGACGAUCCCUAGCUGGUCUGAGAGGAUGAUCAGCCACACUGGAACUGAGACACGGUCCAGACUCCUACGGGAGGCAGCAGUGGGGAAUAUUGCACAAUGGGCGCAAGCCUGAUGCAGCCAUGCCGCGUGUGUGAAGAAGGCCUUCGGGUUGUAAAGCACUUUCAGUCGUGAGGAAGGUAGUGUAGUUAAUAGCUGCAUUAUUUGACGUUAGCGACAGAAGAAGCACCGGCUAACUCCGUGCCAGCAGCCGCGGUAAUACGGAGGGUGCGAGCGUUAAUCGGAAUUACUGGGCGUAAAGCGCAUGCAGGUGGUUUGUUAAGUCAGAUGUGAAAGCCCGGGGCUCAACCUCGGAAUAGCAUUUGAAACUGGCAGACUAGAGUACUGUAGAGGGGGGUAGAAUUUCAGGUGUAGCGGUGAAAUGCGUAGAGAUCUGAAGGAAUACCGGUGGCGAAGGCGGCCCCCUGGACAGAUACUGACACUCAGAUGCGAAAGCGUGGGGAGCAAACAGGAUUAGAUACCCUGGUAGUCCACGCCGUAAACGAUGUCUACUUGGAGGUUGUGGCCUUGAGCCGUGGCUUUCGGAGCUAACGCGUUAAGUAGACCGCCUGGGGAGUACGGUCGCAAGAUUAAAACUCAAAUGAAUUGACGGGGGCCCGCACAAGCGGUGGAGCAUGUGGUUUAAUUCGAUGCAACGCGAAGAACCUUACCUACUCUUGACAUCCAGAGAACUUUCCAGAGAUGGAUUGGUGCCUUCGGGAACUCUGAGACAGGUGCUGCAUGGCUGUCGUCAGCUCGUGUUGUGAAAUGUUGGGUUAAGUCCCGCAACGAGCGCAACCCUUAUCCUUGUUUGCCAGCGAGUAAUGUCGGGAACUCCAGGGAGACUGCCGGUGAUAAACCGGAGGAAGGUGGGGACGACGUCAAGUCAUCAUGGCCCUUACGAGUAGGGCUACACACGUGCUACAAUGGCGCAUACAGAGGGCAGCAAGCUAGCGAUAGUGAGCGAAUCCCAAAAAGUGCGUCGUAGUCCGGAUUGGAGUCUGCAACUCGACUCCAUGAAGUCGGAAUCGCUAGUAAUCGUGGAUCAGAAUGCCACGGUGAAUACGUUCCCGGGCCUUGUACACACCGCCCGUCACACCAUGGGAGUGGGCUGCAAAAGAAGUAGGUAGUUUAACCUUCGGGAGGACGCUUACCACUUUGUGGUUCAUGACUGGGGUGAAGUCGUAACAAGGUAGCGCUAGGGGAACCUGGCGCUG